rnacentral:rRNA from 1 species
UACGUAGGGAGCAAGCGUUGUCCGGAAUCAUUGGGCGUAAAGCGCGCGUAGGUGGCUUCGUAAGUCCGUUGUGAAAGUCAAAGGCUCAACCUUUGAAAGCCGAUGGAUACUGCGGAGCUAGAGUACGGAAGAGGCGAGUGGAAUUCCUGGUGUAGCGGUGAAAUGCGCAGAUAUCAGGAGGAACACCAAUAGCGAAGGCAGCUCGCUGGGACGUUACUGACACUGAGGCGCGAAAGCGUGGGGAGCGAACAGG